rnacentral:rRNA from 1 species
UCCUACGGGGGGCAGCAGUGGGGAAUAUUGGGCAAUGGACGCAAGUCUGACCCAGCAACGCCGCGUGAAGGAAGAAGGCUUUCGGGUUGUAAACUUCUUUUAAGGGGGAAGAGCAGAAGACGGUACCCCUUGAAUAAGCCACGGCUAACUACGUGCCAGCAGCCGCGGUAAUACGUAGGUGGCAAGCGUUGUCCGGAUUUACUGGGUGUAAAGGGCGUGUAGGCGGGACUGCAAGUCAGAUGUGAAAACCACGGGCUCAACCUGUGGCCUGCAUUUGAAACUGUAGUUCUUGAGUACUGGAGAGG